GGGCUACCACAGGACUCCAUUCCAAGAAGCUAGGCUACCAAAGUACUCCCUCCCCGGAAGCUAGGAUACCAAGGGAUCCCCUUCCCAGAAGCCAGGCUACCACAGGACUUUCUUCCCGGAUACCAGGCUACCAAAGGACUCCACUCCCGGAAGCUAGGCUACCAAAGUACUCCUUUCCGGGCGCUAUUAUACCCAGGGGUCUCCUUCCCGGAAACCAGGCUACCACAGGACUCCCUCCCCGGAUACCAGGCUACCAAAGGACUCCAUUCCCGGAAGCUAGCCAACCAUAGUACUCCCUUUCCGGAAGGUAGGAUACCAAGGGAUCCCCUUCCCGGAAGCCAGGCUACAACAGGACUUCCUUCCCGGAAACCAGGCUACCAAAAGACUCCAUUCCUGGAAGCAAGGCUACCAAAGUACUCCCCUCCCGGAAGCUAGGAUACCAAGGGAUCCCCUUCCCGGAAGCCAGGCUACCACAGGACUCCCUUCCCGGAAACAGGGCUACCACAGGACUCCAUUCCCAGAAGCUAGGCUACCAAAGUACUCCCUCCCCGGAAGCUAGGAUACCAAGGGAUCCCCUUCCGAGAAGCCAGGCUACCACAGGACUCCCUUCUCGGAAACCAGGCUACCAAAGGACUCCAGUCCCAGAAGUUAGGCUACCAAAGUACUCCCUUCCCAGAAGCUAGUAUACCAAGGGGUCCCCUCCCGGAAGCCAGGGUACCACAGGACUCCCUUCCAGGAAACCAGGCUAUCAAAGGACUCCAUUCCCGGAAGCUAGGCUACCAAAGUACUCCCUUCCCGGAAGCUAGGAUACCAAGGGAUCCCCUUCCCGGAAGCCAGGCUACAACAGGACUUCCUUCCCGGAAACCAGGCUACCAAAGGACUCCAUUCCCGGAAGCUAGGCUACCAAAGUACUCUCUUCCCGGAAGGC
rnacentral:lncRNA from 1 species